rnacentral:misc_RNA from 1 species
GGGUAGGGUAGCUAGUGAUAGAGCUAUUCAAGCAUGCCAGGUCUUUGGUUGGUCAUGUCAAAUUUCCAUUUGAGAGCUAUUCCAGCAUGCCAAUAGGUUUUUUGUUGAUCAUGCCAUUAAGAAUAAUUGCCAGAGUUGGUCAGUGACUCCACAGUGCAAUAUAAGGUGACUGUUUUUCUCUGGUCCUUCCAACACAAAUAACAUCUUGG